UGUGAUCCACCUGCCUCGGCCUCCCAAAGUGCUGGGAUUACAGGCAUGAGCCACUGUGCCUGGCCAUAUAAUUUUUAAAAGAAGAUUCAUUAAACAAAGGAUCCACAAUAUAAUAAAAAAUUCCAAACUAUCAAAAGCCAAAUGAUUAAUUCUUGACACUUAGGAAAUAAAUGGAUUGAUUAUUUUGUUCCGAAUUUCAGAACAACCAAUAAAAUAAGAGAAAUAAGAUACAGAAUUUGCAAAUCAUUAGAAAGAAGUAACAAAGUUAUAAACAGGGAAGUAUUUUUAAAUGACACUUGAAAACCCAAACAAAAGAAGACAUAACACACGAUGGCAGCAAAAAGUUUAAACAUAUUAUGAUUACAAUUAUGAUUAGAUAAGUUCCCCUGUCAAAGACAAAGAACAGUAAUUAGUUGUUUAUAAGAACUACACUUAAAUCAAAUGACACACAAAGGUAAAAAUUGAACAAGGCAAUGAGAAGCAAAACAAUACCCAGAAAUAGAUUUCAGCAGAAGUGGGAGUCAUUCUUUCCAGUAUAGGUUUGAAUUCACAAUACCUGCAGGGCCUAAAAAAGCUCAAAUUAAAAUUUAAUGUAAAGUGGUCUCCAAUUAGUAGUUUCCCAAGAUGCCUUGCAGAAGAGGCAAUACAAAUUCAUUCUUUUUUUCUUUUCGCCACAAGGUGGGUGUCAUUGUGACUGGCUGCUACCUCCCCAUGAGUCUUCUAAAAUAAAACCUGCAAAUUCACAUCUUCCCCAUGCUUCCAGAGAAUGCAUAUUCUUCCUUUGAAAAAAGAAAACCAGGUAGUCGUACAGUGUCCAGAAGGCAAAAGGACAAGUAUGCACUGCCCUACUUACCUACUUUCCACACUGCUGCACAGGAAAAUCUGACAGAGGACAAUAACAAACAUCUCACCAGCUCAUGCGUUCUUUUUUGAUCCUAAUUCCGAGAGACUCACCAAAGACAUGAAGAGAAAACAAACAAUACUUUUCUUGGAAAUAUUGUAAUUGCUGGUACAUUUGUUGUUCUGGCAUAAAGUAGAAAUUGUCAGUUACCAGAACAAUACUCAGUGAACUUAUGAAUAUAUGAUUGAAGCCACAAAAUCCACAGCACACAAAGACCCUGCUACCAUGUAUUCACUUCAG
rnacentral:lncRNA from 10 species